UUGCGAUCAGAUUACGUUGAAACACAGGUUAUCGUACGAUCACCGACGUUAAGCAACGUCGAGCCUGGUCAGUACCUAGAUGGGUGUCUGCUUGGAAAUGCCAGGUUCUGUAAG